AUUGAACGCUGGCGGCAUGCCUUACACAUGCAAGUCGAACGGCAGCACGGGGGCAACCCUGGUGGCGAGUGGCGAACGGGUGAGUAAUACAUCGGAACGUGCCCGGUAGUGGGGGAUAGCUCGGCGAAAGCCGGAUUAAUACCGCAUACGACCCACGGGUGAAAGCGGGGAUCGCAAGACCUCGCGCUAGCGGAGCGGCCGAUGUCAGAUUAGGUUGUUGGUGGGGUAAAGGCCACCAAGCCGACGAUCUGUAGCUGGUCUGAGAGGACGACCGGCCACACUGGGACUGAGACACGGCCCAGACUCCUACGGGAGGCAGCAGUGGGGAAUCUUGCGCAAUGGGCGAAAGCCUGACGCAGCGACGCCGCGUGAGGGAUGACGGCCUGGUGU
rnacentral:rRNA from 1 species